GGAAGUAAAAGUCGUAACAAGAUUUCCGUAGGUGAACCUGCGGAAGGACCAUUAUCGUACAAAAUGUGAGGGGCAUGCGAGGGCUGUCGCUGACCCAAAAGUCGUGCACGCCCGAGUGUGUCCUCUUGCAUAAUAAUCCAUCUCACCCUUUGUGCAUCACCGCGUGGGCACCCUUCGGGAUCAUCUCGGAGGGGGGCUUACGUUUUCACACAAACUUUGUAUGCAGUGUAGAAUGUAUUUUUUGUUUUUGCGAUCACGCAAUCAAUACAACUUUCAACAACGGAUCUCUUGGCUCUC
rnacentral:misc_RNA from 1 species